rnacentral:rRNA from 1 species
UUGUACACACCGCCCGUCACACCAUGGGAGUGGGUUGCUCCAGAAGUAGCUAGUCUAACCGCAAGGGGGACGGUUACCACGGAGUGAUUCAUGACUGGGGUGAAGUCGUAACAAGGUAGCCGUAGGGGAACCUGCGGCUGGAUCACCUCCUUAAUCGAAGA